GCGUCAUUAAUACGCGAUUUCCCCGAUUCUUUGUCAUCGAUACUAGUGGUAUCGUGUUACAGAAUUAAUUAUUCAUUUGACCUCAUUACGUCAUCUAAUUUAUUCAUUCUGAAACUUUUCUUUCCACACAAAAAUGGACCUACGAACACUCCGGUUGAGUUUGAAGAACAAGAAAAACAGUAGAGGUCUACCCGGUACCUAUGGUUAAACAUGAUGACCAUAAGUGCAUGCAUCAUUUUGCAGAUUCUCAUCCAGGAUGAUGCAGCUCUACAAUUUCCAUGGAGGUGAUUGAUGAUGAUAAACAAUUGGUGAAGUAGGCCUAAUAGAACAGUGAUAGGACCACAAAGAGAAAUACAACCUACAGCAGUUAUAUGAGACUGGUGUAACAGAUGUUUUCAUUCAAGAAAUCCAACAAAUUGAAGAGUGACUUAGCUUAGGAAGCACUUGAUAAAGAUGGAAAAGGUUCUUUUUUUCAAGUCCAAUUUUUUUUAAUUUUAAUUAUUAUCACAACCCCAAAUUCAUGAAGUAUGAAAUUUCCUGUUGAUUUUCAUUAAAACUGGUUGCAAAAGGAGACGCUAUAAACAGUCAAAUAGGAGCGGCGAAGUGAAGUUGAAAUUGGGGGGGGGGGGCACAGGGAAAAUGCUGUAUUAUGUCAAAUUUUUAAGAAGUUGCGAGAGAGCAAAAUUUUGACAUUUUUAAAAAGAAAAUCCAAUUUUGUGAUAGAUUUCGACAAAAUAUUCAGAAUGAUAUAUUUCACCCUUUUUUUUUGGGGGGGGGGGGGGGCAAGAGUCCUUCAAGCCCCCCCCCCCCUCCAUCUGCAGUGUACGAAACUGCUUAUCUACCCCCACUCACAUGAAUUAUUAAACUUAAUGCACAAAGGAUUUCCUUAUUGUUUUCUUAUUUCAAAGGGCACUCGUCAUGGUGACCAUAAACGGGUCCUUCUCAGGUGAAAGGGGCACAGAAUAAGUUCUUUAGGAGCACUUUUCUUGGGUAAAAGGGGGCAGUUAUUCGAGAAAGGGCACUUACAAGAAGGCGAGGGGGCACUUUUUAACACAUAAAACGGGCCCUCAGAUGAAAGGGCACAGAACACGUUCAGGGGGGGGGGGCAUUUUUUGGUAAAAAUUUGCAUACAAGGAAGAGCACUUGGUAACACCUAAAACAGGUUCUCGUCAGGUGAAAGGGACACAGUACACGUUCGUGAGGGGGCAUUUUUCUGACAUAAAAUUAAAGGCACUUUUCAGUGCUUCAAAAAGUACUGUGCCCCCCAGGAUCGCUGCCCCUGCAUACAAAAAACAUUUUCGUUCGAUUCAAAGUAUUAACAUACGCUUAAGAAAAAAAGUAUGGCUAAAUCCUCUGAUAAUGUGAUAUUUUUUUCUGGCUAUUAAUAAAAUUCACAACUAACC